rnacentral:rRNA from 1 species
GACGAACGCUGGCGGCGUGCUUAACACAUGCAAGUCGAGCGAGGCCCCCCCUUCGGGAGGGUGUCCUAGCGGCGAACGGGUGAGUAACACGUGGGCAACCUGCCCUCAGCUCUGGGAUAACUCCGGGAAACCGGGGCUAAUACCGGAUACGACCUCCACGGGCAUCUGCGGAGGUGGAAAGUUUUUCGGCUGAGGAUGGGCCCGCGGCCUAUCAGCUAGUUGGUGGGGUAGUGGCCCACCAAGGCGACGACGGGUAGCCGGCCUGAGAGGGCGACCGGCCACGCUGGGACUGAGACACGGCCCAGACUCCUACGGGAGGCAGCAGUGGAGAAUAUUGCGCAAUGGGCGAAAGCCUGACGCAGCGAAGCCGCGUGGGGGACGAAGGCCUUCGGGUUGUAAACCUCUUUCAGCAGGGACGAAGCGAAAGUGACGGUACCUGCAGAAGAAGCACCGGCCAACUACGUG